AUUGAACGCUGGCGGAAUGCUUUACACAUGCAAGUCGAACGGCAGCACGGACUUCGGUCUGGUGGCGAGUGGCGAACGGGUGAGUAAUGUAUCGGAACGUGCCCAGUCGUGGGGGACAACGUAGUGAAAAUUACGCUAAUACCGCAUACGAUCUAUGGAUGAAAGCGGGGGAUCGCAAGACCUCGCGCGAUUGGAGCGGCCGAUAUCAGAUUAGGUAGUUGGUGGGGUAAAGGCCCACCAAGCCAACGAUCUGUAGCUGGUCUGAGAGGACGACCAGCCACACUGGAACUGAGACACGGUCCAGACUCCUACGGGAGGCAGCAGUGGGGAAUUUUGGACAAUGGGCGAAAGCCUGAUCCAGCCAUUCCGCGUGCAGGAUGAGGGCCCUCGGGUUGUAAACUGCUUUUGUACAGAACGAAAAGGUUUCUACUAAUACUAGGAGCUCAUGACGGUACUGUAAGAAUAAGCACCGGCUAACUACGUGCCAGCCGCCGCCGUAAAAC
rnacentral:rRNA from 1 species